GUCGGGAUAGCUCAGUUGGUAGAGCAGAGGACUGAAAUUC
rnacentral:tRNA from 2 species